UUGAGAGGCACUGAGAGAAGGAUCUCUCCUAAAGAUCUCAGGGCCCACACAGAUUCAUAUAAGGAGAUGCAAUCUGCCAAAUAGCCUGGACCUGAACCGUUUAGGGCUUUAAAGGCACUGUGUCAGAAGGAGGUGACUUUGCCCGAAAACCAAAUACCUCAAGCACAAGGGAUUGGGAGAACUGUUUGCAAAAUAUACUCCAC
rnacentral:lncRNA from 11 species